UAGGGAAUCUUCCACAAUGGGCGCAAGCCUGAUGGAGCAACGCCGCGUGAGUGAAGAAGGUCUUCGGAUCGUAAAACUCUGUUGUUAGAGAAGAACAUGCGUGAGAGUAACUGUUCUUGUAUUAACGGUAUCUAACCAGAAAGCCACGGCUAACUACGUGCCAG
rnacentral:rRNA from 1 species